UAACCAUUUUGGCAAAAAUAAUUAGGCCAUGGAAUAAGAACAUAUUCCUUUGAAUAAGAUUUGCUUUGAUUUGAUAGUUAAUUUUCGUAUUGAAUAAGCCAAUUACAGCCAUUGUAAAUAAGUUCUAACUCCAGGAUUUAUUUCACAAAAUAACUGCAAAAAUGUAUAUGUAGAUUCUUAAGUUUAGAUCCCAAUAUAGUUAUCACACAAAUUUACUCUUUAAAGGAGAGGGA
rnacentral:sRNA from 1 species